UACGAGUGCCCCGAGCGUUAUCCGGAAUCAUUGGGCGUAAAGGGUGUGUAGGUGGUCUUGUUAGUCUCCUGUCAAAUUCUUCGGCUUAACCGGGGGUCCGCAGGGGAAACGGCAAGACUAGAGGAUGCGAGGGGUGAAUGGAACUCAUAGUGGAGGGGUGAAAUCCGUUGAUAUUAUGGGGAACACCAAAAGCGAAGGCAAUUCACUGGCGCACUUCCUGACACUGAAACACGAAAGCGUGGGUAGCGAAUGGG
rnacentral:rRNA from 1 species